AGGACGAACGCUGGCGGCGUGCUUAACACAUGCAAGUCGAGCGAGGCUUCUCCUUCGGGAGAUGUCCUAGCGGCGAACGGGUGAGUAACACGUGGGCAACCUGCCUCUAGCUCUGGGAUAACUCCGGGAAACCGGGGCUAAUACCGGAUAUGACCUCGAGCGGCAUCUAUCGAGGUGGAAAGUUUUUCGGCUAGAGAUGGGCCCGCGGCCUAUCAGCUUGUUGGUGAGGUAACGGCCCACCAAGGCGACGACGGGUA
rnacentral:rRNA from 1 species